rnacentral:rRNA from 1 species
CCUACGGGAGGCAGCAGUGGGGAAUAUUGCACAAUGGGCGAAAGCCUGAUGCAGCGACGCCGCGUGAGGGAUGACGGCCUUCGGGUUGUAAACCUCUUUCAGCAGGGAAGAAGCGAAAGUGACGGUACCUGCAGAAGAAGCGCCGGCUAACUACGUGCCAGCAGCCGCGGUAAUACGUAGGGCGCAAGCGUUGUCCGGAAUUAUUGGGCGUAAAGAGCUCGUAGGCGGCUUGUCACGUCGGUUGUGAAAGCCCGGGGCUUAACCCCGGGUCUGCAGUCGAUACGGGCAGGCUAGAGUGUGGUAGGGGAGAUCGGAAUUCCUGGUGUAGCGGUGAAAUGCGCAGAUAUCAGGAGGAACACCGGUGGCGAAGGCGGAUCUCUGGGCCAUUACUGACGCUGAGGAGCGAAAGCGUGGGGAGCGAACAGGAUUAGAUACCCUGGUAGUCCACGCCGUAAACGGUGGGAACUAGGUGUUGGCGACAUUCCACGUCGUCGGUGCCGCAGCUAACGCAUUAAGUUCCCCGCCUGGGGAGUACGGCCGCAAGGCUAAAACUUAAAGGAAAUUGACGGCUGAGAGNGCGACGACGACACGAGGAGAG